rnacentral:rRNA from 1 species
UACGGGGGGGGCAAGCGUUGUUCGGAAUUACUGGGCGUAAAGGGCCAGUAGGCGGCCAACUAAGUCGGAUGUGAAAUCCCCAGGCUCAACUUGGGAACUGCAUCCGAUACUGGAUGGCUUGAAUUCGGGAGAGGGAUGCAGAAUUCCAGGUGUAGCGGUGAAAUGCGUAGAUAUCUGGAGGAAUACCGGUGGCGAAGGCGGGUCUCUAGUACGGUACUGACGCUGAGACGCGAAAGCGUGGGGAGCGAACAGG